rnacentral:rRNA from 1 species
ACGAAGCAAUAGGAAGGAAGUUUUCGGAUCUUAUUCAUAUUGACUGAGUGGCGGACGGGUGAGUAACGCGUGGGUAACCUGCCUCAUACAGGGGGAUAACAGUUAGAAAUGACUGCUAAUACCGCAUAAGCGCACAGAAUCGCAUGAUAAUGUGUGAAAAACUCCGGUGGUAUGAGAUGGACCCGCGUCUGAUUAGCUAGUUGGUGGGGUAAAGGCCUACCAAGGCGACGAUCAGUAGCCGACCUGAGAGGGUGAUCGGCCACAUUGGGACUGAGACACGGCCCAAACUCCUACGGGAGGCAGCAGUGGGGAAUAUUGCACAAUGGGGGAUAUUUUGAUGCAGCAACGCCGCGUGAGUGAAGAAGUAUUUCGAUAUGUAAAGCUCUAUCAGCAGGGAAGAAGAUGACGGUACCUGAGUAAGAAGCCUUCGGCUAACUACGUGCCAGCAGCCGCGGUAAUACGUAGGGGGCAAGCGUUAUCCGGAUUUACUGGGUGUAAAGGGAGCGUAAACGGCAUAGCAAGUCUGAAAUGUAAACCCCAGGCCCAACCCUGCGACUGCUUUUGAAAUGUUAAGCUAGAAUGCCGGGGAAGGUAAUCGGAAUUCCUNGUGUNGCGGUGAAAUGCGUAGGUUUUUUGGGAGGACCACCAGUGGGGAGGGCGGCUUUCUGGACCAGUAACGGACGUUGAGGCUCGAAAGCGUGGGGAGCAAACAGGAUUGGAUACCCUGGUAGUCCACGCCGUAAACGAUGAAUGCUAGGUGUUGGGGAGCAAAGCUUCUCGGUGCCGCCGCAAACGCAAUAAGCAUUCCACCUGGGGAGUACGUUCGCAAGAAUGAAACUCAAAGGAAUUGACGGGGACCCGCACAAGCGGUGGAGCAUGUGGUUUAAUUAGAAGCAACGCGAAGAACCUUACCAAGUCUUGACAUCCCGGUGACGCAUGUAGAAAUAUAUGUUUUCUUCGGAACACUGGAGACAGGUGGUGCAUGGUUGUCGUCAGCUCGUGUCGUGAGAUGUUGGGUUAAGUCCCGCAACGAGCGCAACCCUUAUUCUUAGUAGCCAGCAGGUAAAGCUGGGCACUCUAGGGAGACUGCCAGGGAUAACCUGGAGGAAGGUGGGGAUGACGUCAAAUCAUCAUGCCCCUUAUGAUUUGGGCUACACACGUGCUACAAUGGGAAAAACAAAGGGAGGCGAAGGAGUGAUCUGGAGCUAACCCCAAAAAUAACGUCUCAGUUCGGAUUGCAGGUUGAAAGCCGCCUGCAUGAAGCCGGAAUCGCUAGUAA